rnacentral:rRNA from 1 species
AGAACGAACGCUGGCGGCAGGCUUAACACAUGCAAGUCGAGCGCCUGUAGCAAUACAGGAGCGGCAGACGGGUGAGUAACACGUGGGAACGUGCCCAAAGGUACGGAACAACUCCGGGAAACUGGAGCUAAUACCGUAUGUGCCCGAGAGGGGAAAGAUUUAUCGCCUUUGGAUCGGCCCGCGUCUGAUUAGCUAGUUGGUGGGGUAAUGGCCCACCAAGGCGACGAUCAGUAGCUGGUCUGAGAGGAUGGCCAGCCACACUGGGACUGAGACACGGCCCAGACUCCUACGGGAGGCAGCAGUGGGGAUAUUGGACAAUGGGCGCAAGCCUGAUCCAGCCAUGCCGCGUGAGUGAUGAAGGCCUUAGGGUUGUAAAGCUCUUUCGCCAGGGACGAUAAUGACGGUACCUGGAUAAGAAGCCCGGCUAACUUCGUGCCAGCAGCCGC